rnacentral:rRNA from 1 species
GACGAACGCUGGCGGCGUGCCUAAUACAUGCAAGUCGAGCGGAAUGAUGAAGAAGCUUGCUUCUUCUGAUUUUAGCGGCGGACGGGUGAGUAACACGUGGGCAACCUACCUUGUAGAUUGGGAUAACUCCGGGAAACCGGGGCUAAUACCGAAUAAUCCAUUUUGCUUCGUGGCGAGAUGUUGAAAGACGGUUUCGGCUGUCACUACAAGAUGGGCCCGCGGCGCAUUAGCUAGUUGGUAGGGUAAUGGCCUACCAAGGCGACGAUGCGUAGCCGACCUGAGAGGGUGAUCGGCCACACUGGGACUGAGACACGGCCCAGACUCCUACGGGAGGCAGCAGUAGGGAAUCUUCCACAAUGGACGAAAGUCUGAUGGAGCAACGCCGCGUGAGUGAAGAAGGUUUUCGGAUCGUAAAACUCUGUUGUAAGGGAAGAACACGUACGAGAGUAACUGCUCGUACCUUGACGGUACCUUAUUAGAAAGCCACGGCUAACUACGUG